GCCGCAGGGGUGGUGCCAGCGGCAUCUGCCCGGCUCGGAGCCUGACUCGGCCCUCUCGUCUCGCAGCUGCGGUUCCACCAUGGCUCCCAAAGGCAGCUCCAAGCAGCAGUCCGAGGAGGACCUGCUCCUGCAGGAUUUCAGCCGCAACCUCUCGGCCAAGUCCUCGGCGCUCUUCUUCGGGAACGCCUUCAUCGUGUCCGCCAUCCCCAUCUGGCUAUAUUGGCGAAUAUGGCACAUGGAUCUUAUUCAGUCUGCUGUUCUGUAUAGUGUGAUGACCCUAGUAAGCACUUAUUUGGUAGCCUUUGCAUACAAAAAUGUGAAAUUUGUUCUCAAGCACAAAGUAGCACAGAAGAGGGAGGAUGCUGUUUCCAAAGAAGUGACUCGAAAACUUUCUGAAGCUGAUAACAGAAAGAUGUCUCGGAAGGAAAAAGAUGAAAGAAUCUUGUGGAAGAAGAAUGAAGUUGCUGAUUAUGAAGCUACAACAUUUUCCAUCUUCUAUAAUAACACCCUAUUUCUGGUCUUGGUCAUUGUUGCUUCCUUCUUUAUAUUGAAGAACUUCAACCCCACAGUGAACUACAUUUUGUCCAUAAGUGCUUCCUCGGGCCUCAUCGCCCUCCUGUCUACUGGCUCCAAGUAGAGCACGUCAGCUUCCCUCCACCGCCCUGGCUUUGUGUCUAUGGGUGGCCUGUGGUAUAUGGAAAAGUAGCAGGGUGGUCAGGGUGGAAGAAACACAAGCUGUUUUUGAUGGUUCUGGUGCAACGUGGCUUUCAGUUGUUACCCGUGACCCUGACCUUUCAUUGACUCCACAAUGUCGGAAGAGCCAUUUUCGUGGCUCUGGAAGUUUCACGGUGACGCUGCUCCCAUGGGAUAGGCCUUCCAUGCGGCAGUAGCCUUGGCCACGGUCGCAGCCCUGCUCCUCAGCCUCUCACCAACCCCGCCUUACCUUCGACGGGGAUGGAAAAUUGAGCCAGAAGCAAUGGAUGUCACUACACAGCUCAGGGGUGCUCACCCUUGACACUGUGAGGAUGUGUGCGUUUUCACUGACGUGUUCUUGUUUUAAACUGUGUUAUAAGGGAAAGGAGAAGGAAGUAAGAAAAGUGUUUCAGCAUGUGGAACCACUCUCGGGAACUCUGAAAAACCUAUCUAAUACUAUCUAUCGUUUUAGAUAGUAUUAACCAGGAGUCUAUGCUUCAGAGAUCAUCUG